rnacentral:rRNA from 1 species
CAAUCGAACGUGGAGAUAGCUGGUUCUCCCCGAAAUAGCUUUAGGGCUAGCCUCAUGGCAAGAGUGCAGGCGGUAGAGCACUGAACAGGGUAGGGGCCUAUCCGGCUACCGAACCUAAUCAAACUACGAAUGGCUGUACUUAUCCAUGGGAGUCAGACUGCGAGUGAUAAGACCCGUAGUCAAGAGGGAAACAGCCCAGACCAACAGCUAAGGUCCCCAAUGCCGUACUAAGUGGUAAAGGAUGUGGAGUUUCGAAAACAACCAGGAUGUUGGCUUAGAAGCAGCCACCAUUAAAAGAGUGCGUAAUAGCUCACUGGUCGAGAGACUCUGCGCCGAAGAUGACCGGGGCUAAAGUACGGAACCGAAGCUUUGGCAUGUAUGUAAAUACAUGGGUAGGGGAGCGUUCCUGCAUGGGCGAAGCCUGACCGGAAGGACAGGUGGACAGGCAGGAAGUGAGAAUGCCGGUAUGAGUAGCGAAAAGAAAGGUGAGAAUCCUUUCCACCGAAAGCCUAAGGGUUCCUGGGCAACGAUCGUCGACCCAGGGUAAGUCGGGACCUAAUCCGAGGCGAAGACGCAUAGGAGAUGGACAACAGGUUGAAAUUCCUGUACCGACGUCGUCUGUUUGAGCGAUGGAGUGACACAAGAAGGAAAGUUCGCAUGCGAUUGGAAGAGCAUGUCUAAGCAGGUAGGUUGAAUACCAGGCAAAUCCGGUAUUCUAAAAGCCGAGAAGUGAUAGGGAGCCUGUAGAAAUACAGGUGAAGGAACCGGGACUCGAUUGUCAAGAAAAGCUUCUAGUGAGGACGACGCCGCCCGUACCAAAACCGACACAGGUAGGCAAGAAGAGAAUUCUAAGGUGCGCGGGAAAACCCUCGUUAAGGAACUCGGCAAAAUGUAUCCGUAACUUCGGGAAAAGGAUAACCCAGAGUACGUGAAGGAAAGAAACAUCCGGAGCGGGAAUGGGUGGCACAAGAGAGGCCCAAGCGACUGUUUACCACAAACACAGGCGUCUGCUAAAGAGAAAUCUGAUGUAUAGAUGCUGACACCUGCCCGGUGCUGGAAGGUUAAGAGGACGUGUUAGCCGCAAGGCGAAGCAGAGAAUUGAAGCCCCAGUAAACGGCGGCCGUAACUAUAACGGUCCUAAGGUAGCGAAAUUCCUUGUCGGGUAAGUUCCGACCCGCACGAAAGGUGUAACGAUUUGGGCACUGUCUCAACGAGGGACCCGGUGAAAUUGAAGUACCUGUGAAGAUGCAGGUUACCCGCGACUGGACAGAAAGACCCCAUGGAGCUUUACUGUAACCUGAGAUUGAAUUUUGGUAGAAGAUGUACAGGAUAGUUGGGAGACGUAGAAGCGCGCACGCCAGUGUACGCAGAGUCGAUGGUGGGAUACCAACCUUGUUUUAUUGAAAUUCUAACGAGAGCCGUAACGAGGCUGCGGACAGUCUCAGGCGGGCAGUUUGACUGGGGCGGUCGCCUCCGAAAGAGCAACGGAGGCGCCCAAAGGUUCCCUCAGCGCGGACGGAAACCGCGCGAAGAGUGUAAAGGCAGAAGGGAGCUUGACUGCGAGACGGACAGGUCGAGCAGGGACGAAAGUCGGGCUUAGUGAUCCGGUGGUAGAGAGUGGAAUUGCCAUCGCUCAACGGAUAAAAGCUACCCUGGGGAUAACAGGC